GAUGAACGCUGGCGGCGUGCUUAACACAUGCAAGUCGAACGAGAAAUGUAGACGGACACCUUCGGGCGGAAGCCUUCAUUUCGAGUGGCGGACGGGUGAGUAACGCGUGGGUAACCUGCCUCAUACAGGGGGAUAACAGUUGGAAACGACUGUUAAUACCGCAUAAGACCACAGCAUCGCAUGAUGCGGGGGUAAAAACUCCGGUGGUAUGAGAUGGACCCGCGUUCGAUUAGCCAGUUGGCGGGGUAACGGCCCACCAAAGCGACGAUCGAUAGCCGAUCUUGGAGGGUGACCGGGCACCUUUGGGCUGAGGCACGGCCCCAAACCCUACGGGAGGGCGGCGUGGGGAAUAUUGCCCCAUUGGGGAAACCCUGAUGCAGCGACGCCGCGUGAGUGAAGAAGUACUUCGGUAUGUAAAGCUCUAUCAGCAGGGAAGAAAAUGACGGUACCUGAGUAAGAAGCCCCGGCUAACUACGUG
rnacentral:rRNA from 1 species